rnacentral:rRNA from 1 species
GACGAACGCUGGCGGCGUGCUUAACACAUGCAAGUCGAACGGAAAGGCCCUGCUUUUGUGGGGUGCUCGAGUGGCGAACGGGUGAGUAACACGUGAGUAACCUGCCCUUGACUUUGGGAUAACUUCAGGAAACUGGGGCUAAUACCGGAUAGGAGCUCCUGCUGCAUGGUGGGGGUUGGAAAGUUUCGGCGGUUGGGGAUGGACUCGCGGCUUAUCAGCUUGUUGGUGGGGUAGUGGCUUACCAAGGCUUUGACGGGUAGCCGGCCUGAGAGGGUGACCAGCCACAUUGGGACUGAGAUACGGCCCAGACUCCUACGGGAGGCAGUAGUGGGGAAUAUUGCACAAUGGGCGGAAGCCUGAUGCAGCAACGCCGCGUGCGGGAUGACGGCCUUCGGGCUGUAAACCGCUUUCGCCUGUGACGAAGCGUGAGUGACGGUAAUGGGUAAAGAAGCACCGGCUAACUACGUG